rnacentral:rRNA from 1 species
CCUACGGGAGGCAGCAGUGGGGAAUAUUGCGCAAUGGGCGAAAGCCUGACCCAGCGACGCCGCGUGAGGGAUGACGGUCUUCGGAUCGUAAACCUCUGUCAGCAGGGAAGAACGGUCACUGUGCUAAUCAGCAGUGAAUUGACGGUACCUGCAAAGGAAGCACCGGCUAACUCCGUGCCAGCAGCCGCGGUAAUACGUAGGGUGCGAGCGUUAAUCGGAAUUACUGGGUGUAAAGCGCUCGUAGGCGGUAUGGCAAGUCAAGGGUGAAAUCCCCGCGCUGAACGUGGGAACUGCAUUUGAAACUGGCAGACUAGAGUGUGGGAGAGGAUAGUGGAAUUCCAGGUGUAGGAGUGAAAUGCGUAGAUAUCUGGAGGAACAUCAGUGGCGAAGGCGACUAUCUGGCACAUAACUGACGCUGAGGAGCGAAAGCGUGGGUAGCAAACAGGAUUAGAUACCCCUGUAGUC